GACGAACGCUGGCGGCGUGCUUAACACAUGCAAGUCGAACGGAAAGGCCCUGCUUUUGUGUGGUGCUCGAGUGGCGAACGGGUGAGUAACACGUGAGUAACCUGCCCUUGACUUUGGGAUAACUUCAGGAAACUGGGGCUAAUACCGGCUAGGAGCUCCUGCUGCAUGGUGGGGGUUGGAAAGUUUCGGCGGUUGGGGAUGGACUCGCGGCUUAUCAGCUUGUUGGUGGGGUAGUGGCUUACCAAGCCUUUGACGGGUAGCCGGCCUGAGAGCGUAACCGGGCACAUUGGGACUGAGGUACGGCGCAGACUCCUACGGGAGGCAGCAGUGGGGAAUAUUGCACAAUGGGCGGAAGCCUGAUGCAGCAACGUCGCGUGCGGGAUGACGGCCUUCGUGUUGUAAACCGCUUUCGCCUGUGACGAAGCGUGAGUGACGGUAAUGGGUAAAGAAGCACCGGCUAACUACGUG
rnacentral:rRNA from 1 species